rnacentral:rRNA from 1 species
CAUGCAAGUCGAACGGAAACCUUCGGGUUUUAGUGGCGAACGGGUGAGUAACACGUAAGCAACCUACCCUAAAGACGAGGAUAACCAUUGGAAACAGUGGCUAAGACUGGAUAGGAAGAUAAAAGGCAUCUUGUAUCUUUUAAAAGACCUAGUUAAUAGGUAUGCUUUAGGAGGGGCUUGCGCCAUAUUAGUUAGUUGGUAGGGUAAUGGCCUACCAAGACGAUGAUGUGUAGCUGGACUGAGAGGUUGAACAGCCACAUUGGGACUGAGACACGGCCCAAACUCCUACGGGAGGCAGCAGUAGGGAAUUUUCGGCAAUGGAGGAAACUCUGACCGAGCAACGCCGCGUGAAUGACGAAGUACUUCGGUAUGUAAAGUUCUUUUAUCGAGGAAGAAAAGCAAAUGGCGAACCAUUUGUUUGCCGGUACUUGAUGAAUAAGCCCCGGCUAAUUAUGUGCCAGCAGCCGCGGUAAGACAUAAGGGGCAAGUGUUAUCCGGAAUUAUUGGGCGUAAAGGGUGCGUAGGCGGUCUAGUAAGUCAGUGGUGUAAUGGCAACGCUUAACGUUGUCCGGCUAUUGAAACUGCUAAACUUGAGUUAGAUAGAGGCGAGUGGAAUUCCAUGUGUAGCGGUAAAAUGCGUAAAUAUAUGGAGGAACACCAGAGGCGUAGGCGGCUCGCUGGGUCUUAACUGACGCUGAGGCACGAAAGCGUGGGGAGCAAACAGGAUUAGAUACCCUGGUAGUCCACGCCGUAAACGAUGAGUACUAAGUGUCGGGUUAAACCGGUACUGAAGUUAACACAUUAAGUACUCCGCCUGAGUAGUACGUACGCAAGUAUGAAACUUAAAGGAAUUGACGGGACUCCGCACAAGCGGUGGAUCAUGUUGUUUAAUUCGAAGAUACCCGAAAAACCUUACCAGGUCUUGACAUGUUUUUGCAAAAUGAUAGUAAUAUCGUGGAGGUUACCAGAAACACAGGUGGUGCAUGGUUGUCGUCAGCUCGUGUCGUGAGAUGUUAGGUUAAGUCCUAAAACGAGCGAAACCCUUAUCGUUAGUUGCCAGCACGUUAUGGUGGGGACUUUAACGAGACUGCCAAUGAUAAAUUGGAGGAAGGUGAGGAUCACGUCAAAUCAGCAUGCCCCUUAUGACCUGGGCUACAAACGUGAUACAAUGGCUGUUACAAAGGGUAGCUGAAACGCAAGUUCUUGGCCAAUCCCCAAAAACAGUCCCAGUCCGGAUUGAAGUCUGCAACUCGACUUCAUGAAGUUGGAAUCGCUAGUAAUCGCGAAUCAGCAUGUCGCGGUGAAUACGUUCUCGGGGUUUGUACACACCGCCCGUCAAACCACGAAAGUUGGCAAUACCCCAAAACGGUAGCCUAACUCGUUUAUUCGAGAGGGCGCCGUCUAAGGUAGGGUCGAUGAUUGGGGUUAAGUCGUAACAAGGUAUCCCUACCGGAAGGUGGGGAUGGAUCACCUCCUUUCU